UACGGAGGGUGCAAGCGUUGCUCGGAAUUAUUGGGCGUAAAGGGUAGGUAGGUGGUCUCGUUUGUCUGGGGUGAAAGCCUUGAGCUUAACUCAAGAAGUGCCCCAGAAACGGCGAGACUAGAGUACUGGAGAGGGUCGUGGAAUUCCCGGUGUAGCGGUGAAAUGCGUAGAGAUCGGGAGGAACACCAGAGGCGAAGGCGGCGACCUGGACAGUAACUGACACUCAACUACGAAAGCGUGGGGAGCAAACAGG
rnacentral:rRNA from 1 species